GUGAGGAAUAUUGCGCAAUGGGCGAAAGCCUGACGCAGCAACGCCGCGUGGGUGAUGAAGGCCUUCGGGUCGUAAAACCCUUUUCAGGGAGAAGAGUGAGGACGGUAUCCCUGGAAUAAGGUUCGGCUAACUACGUGCCAGCAGCCGCGGUAAAACGUAGGAACCGAGCGUUAUCCGGAUUUACUGGGCGUAAAGCGCCUGCAGGCGGUCUUGUAAGUUGGGUGUGAAAUCUCCCGGCUCAACUGGGAGCGGUCAUUCAAUACUGCGAGACUAGAGGGCAGGAGAGGGAAGCGGAAUUCCCGGUGUAGUGGUGAAAUGCGUAGAUAUCGGGAGGAACACCAGUGGCGAAGGCGGCUUCCUGGCCUGCUCCUGACGCUAAGAGGCGAAAGCUAGGGGAGCGAACGGGAUUAGAAACCCUAGUAGUCC
rnacentral:rRNA from 1 species